AACCUUUAGUUGGUUAAUGCUACACCAACACACCAGGCUUUUUCCUGUGGAGUUAUUAUGAGCGAUAAAAUUAUUCACCUGACAGA
rnacentral:sRNA from 1 species